GAUGAACGCUAGCGGGAGGCCUAACACAUGCAAGCCGAGCGGUAUUUGUUCUUCGGAACAGAGAGAGCGGCGCACGGGUGCGGAACACGUGUGCAACCUGCCUUUAUCUGGGGGAUAGCCUUUCGAAAGGAAGAUUAAUACCCCAUAAUAUAUUGAGUGGCAUCAUUUGAUAUUGAAAACUCCGGUGGAUAGAGAUGGGCACGCGCAAGAUUAGAUAGUUGGUGAGGUAACGGCUCACCAAGUCAAUGAUCUUUAGGGGGCCUGAGAGGGUGAUCCCCACACUGGUACUGAGACACGGACCAGACCCCUACGGGAGGCAGCAGUGAGGAAUAUUGGACAAUGGGUUAGCGCCUGAUCCAGCCAUCCCGCGUGAAGGACGACGGCCCUAUGGGUUGUAAACUUCUUUUGUAUAGGGAUAAACCUACUCUCGUGAGAGUAGCUGAAGGUACUAUACGAAUAAGCACCGGCUAACUCCGUG
rnacentral:rRNA from 1 species